rnacentral:lncRNA from 1 species
UGUUUGAAAUUUGUUCAUUUUCCCUCUCUUAAUUUAUUUAGAGCCGGGUGAAGGAAACUUGGAAUGUAUAUGGUGUCAUUUUUAACUUUGAAGAAUAAAGAUAAUCUAUGGUUUAGCUGAAAGCACUUGGAGAGAUGAAUCUUGAAAGAUACCAAGAAGGACUCAUCAAAUAUUACCUGGGAGACAUGGCCUUGAAAGCAUAACCUGUGAAUAUAAUCCAUCUGAGACAGCACUUAACUCCAGACAACUCAAUGAUCAACUCAGAAAAAGCAGCAAACAUGAAAAUUCUAUGGCUGAGGCCAUAUUGCACAUCCUUGGAGGACUGUUAACAAGAAGAGAAAAGAAAAUCUGUGGUCACUGACCAGACACUGGACAGGUAAUAUACUAAGACUCUAAAUAUCUACAAAGGCAGUCUUAUUUGUUCUACGUAGAAAUUUCUGAGAAGGCCCUGAGUCUGAUAGAAUAUAUACCAUAGGGUAAGCAUUCAGUUCAUAUGUGGUAACAACGAUGGAUUUGGGGCCAAAUAUAUUUUGAGAACUGGAGUUUU